AACGCUAGCGGCAGGCCUAACACAUGCAAGUCGAGGGGUAACAUUGUGCUUGCACAGAUGACGACCGGCGCACGGGUGCGUAACGCGUAUGCAAUCUACCUUUUACAGGGGAAUAGCCCAGAGAAAUUUGGAUUAAUGCCUCAUAGUAUAUAGAAAUGGCAUCAUUNNNAUAUUAAAGAUUUAUCGGUAAAAGAUGAGCAUGCGUUCUAUUAGUUAGUUGGUAAGGUAACGGCUUACCAAGACCGCGAUAGAUAGGGGUCCUGAGAGGGAGAUCCACACUGGUACUGAGACACGGACCAGACUCCUACGGGAGGCAGCAGUGAGGAAUAUUGGACAAUGGGCGAGAGCCUGAUCCAGCCAUGCCGCGUGCAGGAAGACUGCCCUAUGGGUUGUAAACUGCCCUUAUACAGGAAGAAACACUGCUACGUGUAGCAGCUUGACGGUACUGUAAGAAUAAGGAUCGGCUAACUCCGUGCCAGCAGCCGCGGUAAUAC
rnacentral:rRNA from 1 species